AUUGAACGCUGGCGGCAUGCUUUACACAUGCAAGUCGAACGGUAACAGGCCGCAAGGUGCUGACGAGUGGCGAACGGGUGAGUAAUGCAUCGGAACGUGCCCAGUCGUGGGGGAUAACUACUCGAAAGAGUAGCUAAUACGCAUACGAUCUAUGGAUGAAAGCGGGGGACCGUAAGGCCUCGCGCGAUUGGAGCGGCCGAUGUCAGAUUAGGUAGUUGGUGGGGUAAAGGCUCACCAAGCCAACGAUCUGUAGCUGGUCUGAGAGGACGACCAGCCACACUGGGACUGAGACACGGCCCAGACUCCUACGGGAGGCAGCAGUGGGGAAUUUUGGACAAUGGGCGCAAGCCUGAUCCAGCAAUGCCGCGUGCAGGAAGAAGGCCUUCGGGUUGUAAACUGCUUUUGUACGGAACGAAACGGCUCUGGUUAAUACCCGGGGCUAAUGACGGUACCGUAAGAAUAAGCACCGGCUAACUACGUG
rnacentral:rRNA from 1 species